AACGAACGCUGGCGGCAUGCCUAACACAUGCAAGUCGAACGAGACCUUCGGGUCUAGUGGCGCACGGGUGCGUACCGCGUGGGAACCUGCCCUUAGGUUCGGAAUAACUCCCCGAAAGGGGUGCUAAUACCGGAUAAUGUCUUCGCACCAAAGAUUUAUCGCCUUUGGAUGGGCCCGCGUUGGAUUAGCUAGUUGGUAGGGUAAAAGCCUACCAAGGCGACGAUCCAUAGCUGGUCUGAGAGGAUGAUCAGCCACACUGGGACUGAGACACGGCCCAGACUCCGACGGGAGGCAGCAGUGGGGAAUAUUGGACAAUGGGCGAAAGCCUGAUCCAGCAAUGCGGCGUGAGAGAUGAAGGGCUUAGGGUUGUAAAGCUGUUUGACCCGAGAUGAUAAUGACAGUACCGGGAGAAUAAGCUCCGGCUAACUCCGUG
rnacentral:rRNA from 1 species